rnacentral:rRNA from 1 species
GAUGAACGCUGGCGGCGUGCCUAACACAUGCAAGUCGAGCGAUCUUCUUCGGAAGAGAGCGGCGGACGGGUGAGUAACGCGUGGGUAACCUGCCCUGUACACCCGGAUAACAUACCGAAAGGUAUGCUAAUACGAGAUGAUAUGCGUUUAUCGCAUGGUAGAACUAUCAAAGCUCCGGCGGUACAGGAUGGACCCGCGUCUGAUUAGCUAGUUGGUAAGGUAACGGCUUACCAAGGCGACGAUCAGUAGCCGACCUGAGAGGGUGAUCGGCCACAUUGGAACUGAGACACGGUCCAAACUCCUACGGAAGGCAGCAGUGGGGAAUAUUGCACAAUGGGCGAAAGCCUGAUGCAGCAACGCCGCGUGAGCGAUGAAGGCCUUCGGGUCGUAAAGCUCUGUCCUCAAGGAAGAUAAUGACGGUACUUGAGGAGGAAGCCCCGGCUAACUACGUGCCAGCCGCCGCAGUAA